CAGCAGCCGCGGGAAUACAGAGGGUGCAAGCGUUAAUCGGAAUUACUGGGCGUAAAGCGCGCGUAGGUGGUUUGUUAAGUUGGAUGUGAAAUCCCCGGGCUCAACCUGGGAACUGCAUUCAAAACUGACUGACUAGAGUAUGGUAGAGGGUGGUGGAAUUUCCUGUGUAGCGGUGAAAUGCGUAGAUAUAGGAAGGAACACCAGUGGCGAAGGCGACCACCUGGACUAAUACUGACACUGAGGUGCGAAAGCGUGGGGAGCAAACAGGAUUAGAUACCCGCGUAGUCCCUGUCUCUUAUAC
rnacentral:rRNA from 1 species